rnacentral:rRNA from 1 species
GACGUAGGGCGCGAGCGUUGUCCGGAUUAUUGGGCGUAAAGAGCUCGUAGGCGGCUUGUCGCGUCGACCGUGAAACUCACAGCUCAACUGUGAGCUUGCGGCCGAUACGGGCAGGCUAGAGUUCGGUAGGGGAGACUGGAAUUCCUGGUGUAGCGGUGAAAUGCGCAGAUAUCAGGAGGAACACCGGUGGCGAAGGCGGGUCUCUGGGCCGAUACUGACGCUGAGGAGCGAAAGCGUGGGAGCGAACAGG